CAGCUACUUCCAGAAGUGACGUCGGAGUGUCAACAUGCAAGAUGGCGGCCCAUCACCGGCAGAACACGGCAGGGCGGAGGAAAGUGCAGGUUUCUUAUGUUAUUCGAGACGAAGUGGAGAAGUACAAUCGAAAUGGAGUCAAUGCCCUGCAGCUGGACCCAGCCCUCAAUAGGCUUUUCACAGCAGGUCGAGACUCCAUCAUAAGGAUAUGGAGUGUCAGUCAGCACAAG